rnacentral:misc_RNA from 1 species
AGCUGAUGACCCAUGGCGUCUAAGAUCAACGUACCAAUCUCAAAAAUACCAGGCUGAAUUCCCCAUGGGUCCUGUGACCUCAGCCCAUGCGGGGACCUACAGGACCGUCUGGGGGCCCCAGCUCCCCGACAACAGGCCCCACCUCCACAUCUGCAGGCCCUGAGGACCAGCCCCUCACCCCCACCGGGUCGGAUCCCCAGAGUGUAGGCGCUCAUUUCAAUGACAUCACCCCCAUCCCUGACAUCAUCGUGCUCAAGGUCUGGGAAGGCACCUGGGGGUUGUGAUCGGCAUCUUGGUGGCCGUCAUCCUACUGCUCCUCCUCCUCCUCCUCCUCUUCCUCAUCCUCCGACAUCGACGUCAGGGCAAACACUGGACAUCGACCCAGAGAAAGGCUGAUUUCCAACAUCCUGCAGGGGCUGUGGGGCCAGAGCCCACAGACAGAGGCCUGCAGUGGAGGUCCAGCCCAGCUGCCGAUGCCCAGGAAGAAAACCUCUAUGCUGCCGUGAAGCACACACAGCCUGAGGAUGGGGUGGAGAUGGACACUCGGGUGAGACCCCACCCCUGUCCCAGGCACCAAAGGCCUCCUGGUGCCAGAUCUAAUCCUGCAGAACUUCUCUGUCCUCCUUCCCCCGGCUCUCAGCAUCGUCACGGUGGACCCCUCCUUGUCCAGCACGCUGCCUCCCGCCUGCUGCGACCUCACUCUCUCCUGCUGUCCUGGGACCUCGUGGGCCUCCUCCCGGGUCCCCUUCCUGCUCCUCAUCCUCUGUUUGGCCGUCUGGUUGUUAGAGCUCUCCCCAGGCCUCAGGAGGAUGAGGAAUAAAUGAACCACCCCGGUCCCCCAGGCUCCCCUUCAUUCAUUCAACCAGCAAGUGUUCCCAGGGAGCUCACUGUGGAUGGGGCUCCCCAUGGGAGCUGCAGACACAGCAGGGAGGAAAGCCGCCCCCGCCUCCUGAGCUCACCUCGUGGUGGGAGACAAAAUGCAAAUAAAUGUGCCGCGUCCAGGAGUGCAACGUGCUGUAAGGAACAUAAACCAGAGAAAGGGCAGAGAGUGUGGGGCAGUGGGGCCAGUCUGAAUGGAAGGGGAGGGCUGUCUGCUCAGCUGUCAUCUGAGAAGCCUGGACAGAGUGGGGCACACGAUCCUCUGAUGGACGAGCCCCUGCAGGCAGAGGAAACAACCCUGCAAAGGCCCCCAGGCAGCAGCGAGCUCUUGCAGGAAGGCCCGUGAGGCUGCAGCCAAAUGGGCAACGUCAGAGUGAGGAGCAGAGGCCAGAACCACAGCGAGGGAGCGGCCAGACCCUCCACGGCCUUAGGGCGUCCCUGAGAUUCCAUCGGGAAAGGGAUGUAAUCGGAUCACCCGGGGAACAGUGAGGAAAAUUGACUCCAGGGGGUCAGGAGGAUUCAAGGACACCCCCCACCACUGUCUCUCUCCAGCAGAGCCCACACGAUGAAGACCCCCAGGCAGUGACGUAUGCCGAGGUGAAACACUCCAGACCUAGGAGAGAAAUGGCCUCUCCUCCUUCCCCACUGUCUGGGGAAUUCCUGGACACAAAGGACAGACAGGCGGAAGAGGACAGGCAGAUGGACACUGAGGCUGCUGCAUCUGAAGCCCCCCAGGAUGUGACCUACGCCCAGCUGCACAGCUUGACCCUCAGACGGGAGGCAACUGAGCCUCCUCCAUCCCAGGAAGGGCCCUCUCCAGCUGUGCCCAGCAUCUACGCCACUCUGGCCAUCCACUAGCCCAGGGGGGGACGCAGACCCCACACUCCAUGGAGUCUGGAAUGCAUGGGAGCUGCCCCCCCAGUGGACACCAUUGGACCCCACCCAGCCUGGAUCUACCCCAGGAGACUCUGGGAACUUUUAGGGGUCACUCAAUUCUGCAGUAUAAAUAACUAAUGUCUCUACAAUUUUGAAAUAAAGCAACAGACUUCUCAAUAAUCAAUGAAGUAGCUGAGAAAACUAAGUCAGAAAGUGCAUUAAACUGAAUCACAAUGUAAAUAUUACACAUCAAGCGAUGAAACUGGAAAACUACAAGCCACGAAUGAAUGAAUUAGGAAAGAAAAAAAGUAGGAAAUGAAUGAUCUUGGCUUUCCUAUAAGAAAUUUAGGGCAGGGCACGGUGGCUCACGCCUGUAAUUCCAGCACUUUGGGAGGCCGAGGCGGGCAGAUCACGAGUUCAGGAGAUCGAGACCAUCUUGGCCAACAUGGUGAAACCCUGUCUCUCCUAAAAAUACAAAAAUUAGCUGGAUGUGGUGGCAGUGCCUGUAAUCCCAGCUAUUUGGGAGGCUGAGGCAGGAGAAUCGCUUGAACCAGGGAGUCAGAGGUUUCAGUGAGCCAAGAUCGCACCACUGCUCUCCAGCCUGGCGACAGAGGGAGACUCCAUCUCAAAUU